GAUGAACGCUGGCGGCGUGCCUAAUACAUGCAAGUAGAACGCUGAAGGAGGAGCUUGCUCUUCUGGAUGAGUUGCGAACGGGUGAGUAACGCGUAGGUAACCUGCCUGGUAGCGGGGGAUAACUAUUGGAAACGAUAGCUAAUACCGCAUGACAACAGUUAUUGCAUGAUAACUGUUUAAAAGGGGCAACUGCUCCACUACCAGAUGGACCUGCGUUGUAUUAGCUAGUUGGUGAGGUAACGGCUCACCAAGGCGACGAUACAUAGCCGACCUGAGAGGGUGAUCGGCCAAACUGGGAAUGAGACACGGCCCAGACUCCUACGGGGGGGAGCAGUAGGGAAUUUUCGGCAAUGGGCGGAAGUCUGACCGAGCAACGCCGCGUGAGUGAAGAAGGUUUUCGGAUCGUAAAGCUCUGUUGUAAGAGAAGAACGAGUGUGAGAGUGGAAAGUUCACACUGUGACGGUAUCUUACCAGAAAGGGACGGCUAACUACGUG
rnacentral:rRNA from 1 species